GGACUUUUAAUUAAUGUGAAACCAACUUUGACGGGAGAGCGCUUCGCUGGCAGCGAUGAGGUCAGGGGUUCGAUCCCGCUAGGGUCCACCA
rnacentral:tRNA from 1 species